GGCGGGUAUUGCCUGUGGGUACAGGACCGGGCCUGAGAAACUCGGAGCCGGGAGGAGUGCCUCCUGGUUGCGGUUCGACUCCGCUGCCCGCCG
rnacentral:tRNA from 1 species